rnacentral:rRNA from 1 species
CGUACCCCAAACCGACACAGGUGGUUAGGUAGAGAAUACCAAGGCGCUUGAGAGAACUCGGGUGAAGGAACUAGGCAAAAUGGCACCGUAACUUCGGGAGAAGGUGCGCCGGUGAGGGUGAAGCAUUUACUGCGUAAGCCCAUGCCGGUCGAAGAUACCAGGCCGCUGCGACUGUUUAUUAAAAACACAGCACUCUGCAAACACGAAAGUGGACGUAUAGGGUGUGACGCCUGCCCGGUGCCGGAAGGUUAAUUGAUGGGGUUAGCGCAAGCGAAGCUCUUGAUCGAAGCCCCGGUAAACGGCGGCCGUAACUAUAACGGUCCUAAGGUAGCGAAAUUCCUUGUCGGGUAAGUUCCGACCUGCACGAAUGGCGUAACGAUGGCGGCGCUGUCUCCACCCGAGACUCAGUGAAAUUGAAAUCGCUGUGAAGAUGCAGUGUAUCCGCGGCUAGACGGAAAGACCCCGUGAACCUUUACUAUAGCUUUGCACUGGACUUUGAGCUUGCUUGUGUAGGAUAGGUGGGAGGCUUUGAAGUGGGGACGCCAGUUCUCAUGGAGCCAUCCUUGAAAUACCACCCUGGCAACCUUGAGGUUCUAACUCUGGUCCGUUAUCCGGAUCGAGGACAGUGUAUGGUGGGUAGUUUGACUGGGGCGGUCUCCUCCCAAAGAGUAACGGAGGAGUACGAAGGUGCGCUCAGACCGGUCGGAAAUCGGUCGUAGAGUAUAAAGGCAAAAGCGCGCUUGACUGCGAGACAGACACGUCGAGCAGGUACGAAAGUAGGUCUUAGUGAUCCGGUGGUUCUGUAUGGAAGGGCCAUCGCUCAACGGAUAAAAGGUACUCCGGGGAUAACAGGCUGAUACCGCCCAAGAGUUCAUAUCGACGGCGGUGUUUGGCACCUCGAUGUCGGCUCAUCACAUCCUGGGGCUGAAGCCGGUCCCAAGGGUAUGGCUGUUCGCCAUUUAAAGUGGUACGCGAGCUGGGUUUAGAACGUCGUGAGACAGUUCGGUCCCUAUCUGCCGUGGACGUUUGAGAUUUGAGAGGGGCUGACCUUAGUACGAGAGGACCGGGUUGGACGAACCUCUGGUGUUCCGGUUGUCACGCCAGUGGCAUUGCCGGGUAGCUAUGUUCGGAAAAGAUAACCGCUGAAAGCAUCUAAGCGGGAAACUUGCCUCAAGAUGAGAUCUCACUGGGAACUUGAUUCCCCUAAAGGGCCGUCGAAGACUACGACGUUGAUAGGCAGGGUGUGUAAGCGCUGUGAGGCGUUGAGCUAACCUGUACUAAUUGCCCGUGAGGCUUGACC